UGAGUACAGCCAUGUCUGUUGGG
rnacentral:miRNA from 1 species